UAUACAAUGAAGAGUUUGAUCCUGGCUCAGGAUGAACGCUAGCGGCAGGCUUAACACAUGCAAGUCGAGGGGUAACAUUGUAGCUUGCUACAGAUGACGACCGGCGCACGGGUGC
rnacentral:rRNA from 1 species